rnacentral:Y_RNA from 1 species
GGCUGGUCCGCGUGCAGCGGUGUUUACACUAACAGAUCACACAGUCAGGGACAGGUGUAUUGCUCCUUCCCACUCCCACUGCUUCACCUGACUAGGCUUAA